GGCUCAGAGCCGUGCACGUGGCGAGUGCAGGUGGAACAUUUAUGGAAUGAAUGUGAUGUGGGAAUGCUCACCUCUCCAGUGUUCUAGAAUUCAGGGCUAAAAGAGAGGGUUCCAAGCUUGUGUUUGGGAAAGGCUUUGGUGGCUCCAUCGGCAGAGGAGUUUACCCAGCUGUCACCACGGUGAGGAGACCAAGGCCCAGAGAAGUGGUGGGACUGGCCUAAGACCACACAGCUAGACUGUCUACUGCAGUUUACUGCUUUCCCCUGGGGAGCCUGAUCUGCAGGUGGAGAAGUAGGAAGGCCUCCUGUGAGUGGGACCUGUCACUUUCUUCUAAUCAACAGAAUAUGGCAAAGAUGUUUUUAUAUCUAGGCUGUCCUACCCAACUGAAGAGAAAGAGUUUCCUGCUAGUUUGAAGAAGCCAAAAAAAAAAAAAAAAUCCCAUGUGAAUUGUCUUGGGGAGGGCUAUGUGGUAGGGAACUAGGAGAAAAGUCUAAAUGAUGAAAGACAGCAGGAAAAUGAGAACCUCAGUCUUAUCACUGUAGAAGAUGAAUUCUGUUGACAACCUGAAGAAGCAGACUUUCCCCAAUCAAGCAUCAGAUAAAACUGCAGCCCACUGGCCGCUUGUGACAUGCUGAGUGGAGGCCACAGUUAAGUCAUGUCUGGAUUUCUGGCCGUGGACACUGGGGUAAUAAGCAGGUGUUCCUUUCAAUUGCUAUGUUGAUGGUAAUUUACCAUAUGGCAAUAGACAUGAAUACAUUUGGAUACUACUUUUCCAAUGUUUUAUUUGAAUUUACUUGCAAACCCACUUCAACCUGGUGUUCUUUUUGUGUGAGGUUUUAAAUGACAAUCAAUUAUUGCAAUAGGCAGGACUAUGCAGGUUUCUUAUCCUUAUCAGUUUUCACAGUUGUAUGCUAUUAGGAUUUUAUUUCCUUAAACACUAAAAUACAGCAACACAGGUUGUUUAUAUUAUAGUCCUUUGACCUUUUUAUUAUGGAUAGGAUUUGUAGUUAUAAACCUCUAUUCAUUAUAUCAGUUAUUUGCUCCUCUUUCUCUUUCAUCUUAACCAAGGUUUAUCAAUUUAAUUCUUCUUUUUAAAGAACCAAC